UUAAGUUAAUAAGGGCGCACGGUGGAUGCCUUGGCACUAGGAGCCGACGAAGGACGUGACAAACGACGAUAUGCCUUGGGUAGCUGUAAGUAAGCGAUGAUCCAGGGAUUUCCGAAUGGGGGAACCCAACAGGUAAUACCUGUUACCUACAUCUGUUAAGGAUGUGAGGAGGAAGACGCAGUGAACUGAAACAUCUAAGUAGCUGCAGGAAGAGAAAGCAAAAGCGAUUGCCUUAGUAGCGGCGAGCGAAACGGCAGAAGGGCAAACCGAAGAGUUUACUCUUCGGGGUUGUAGGACUGCAAUGUGGACUCAAAGAUUAUAGAAGAAUGAUUUGGGAAGAUCAGCCAAAGAGAGUAAUAGCCUCGUAUUUAAAAUAGUCUUUGUACUUAGCAGUAUCCUGAGUACGGCGGGACACGUGAAAUCCCGUCGGAAUCUGGGAGGACCAUCUCCCAACCCUAAAUACUCCCUAGUGACCGAUAGUGAACCAGUACCGUGAGGGAAAGGUGAAAAGCACCCCGGGAGGGGAGUGAAAUAGAACCUGAAACCGUGUGCCUACAACAAGUUCGAGCCCGUUAAUGGGUGAGAGCGUGCCUUUUGUAGAAUGAACCGGCGAGUUACGUUAUGAUGCGAGGUUAAGUUGAAGAGACGGAGCCGUAGGGAAACCGAGUCUGAAUAGGGCGCCUUAGUAUCAUGACGUAGACCCGAAACCAUGUGACCUACCCAUGAGCAGGUUGAAGGUGCGGUAAGACGCACUGGAGGACCGAACCAGGGCACGUUGAAAAGUGCUUGGAUGACUUGUGGGUAGCGGAGAAAUUCCAAACGAACUUGGAGAUAGCUGGUUCUCUCCGAAAUAGCUUUAGGGCUAGCGUCGACAUUAGAGAUUCUUGGAGGUAGAGCACUGUUUGGGUGAGGGGUCCAUCCCGGAUUACCAAUCUCAGAUAAACUCCGAAUGCCAAUGAAUUAUGGUCGGCAGUCAGACUGCGAGUGCUAAGAUCCGUAGUCGAAAGGGAAACAGCCCAGACCACCAGCUAAGGUCCCAAAAUAAUUGUUAAGUGGAAAAGGAUGUGGGGUUGCACAGACAACUAGGAUGUUAGCUUAGAAGCAGCUAUUCAUUCAAAGAGUGCGUAAUAGCUCACUAGUCGAGUGACCCUGCGCCGAAAAUGUACCGGGGCUAAAACAAUUUACCGAAGCUGUGGAUACCUUUAUAGGUAUGGUAGGAGAGCGUUCUAUGUGUGAUAAAGGUAUACCGUGAGGAGUGCUGGAACGCAUAGAAGUGAGAAUGCCGGUAUGAGUAGCGAAAGACAGGUGAGAAUCCUGUCCACCGUAAGACUAAGGUUUCCAGGGGAAGGCUCGUCCGCCCUGGGUUAGUCGGGACCUAAGGAGAGACCGAAAGGUGUAUCCGAUGGACAACAGGUUGAUAUUCCUGUACUAGAGUAUGUAGUGAUGGAGGGACGCAGUAGGCUAACUAAAGCAGACGAUUGGAAGAGUCUGUCUAAGCAGUGAGGUGUGAAUUGAGUCAAAUGCUUAAUUCUAUAACAUUGAGCUGUGAUGGGGAGCGAAGUUUAGUAGCGAAGUUAGUGACGUCACACUGCCAAGAAAAGCUUCUAGCGUUUAAACAUACUCUACCCGUACCGCAAACCGACACAGGUAGUCGAGGCGAGUAGCCUCAGGUGAGCGAGAGAACUCUCGUUAAGGAACUCGGCAAAAUGACCCCGUAACUUCGGGAGAAGGGGUGCUGACUUUAAGUCAGCCGCAGUGAAUAGGCCCAAGCAACUGUUUAUCAAAAACACAGCUCUCUGCUAAAUCGUAAGAUGAUGUAUAGGGGGUGACGCCUGCCCGGUGCUGGAAGGUUAAGAGGAGUGCUUAGCGUAAGCGAAGGUAUGAAUUGAAGCCCCAGUAAACGGCGGCCGUAACUAUAACGGUCCUAAGGUAGCGAAAUUCCUUGUCGGGUAAGUUCCGACCCGCACGAAAGGCGUAAUGAUUUGGGCACUGUCUCAACGAGAGACUCGGUGAAAUUUUAGUACCUGUGAAGAUGCAGGUUACCCGCGACAGGACGGAAAGACCCCAUGGAGCUUUACUGCAGUUUGAUAUUGAGUGUCUGUACCACAUGUACAGGAUAGGUAGGAGUCUAAGAGAUCGGGACGCCAGUUUCGAAGGAGACGCUGUUGGGAUACUACCCUUGUGUUAUGGCCACUCUAACCCAGAUAGGUGAUCCCUAUCGGAGACAGUGUCUGACGGGCAGUUUGACUGGGGCGGUCGCCUCCUAAAAGGUAACGGAGGCGCCCAAAGGUUCCCUCAGAAUGGUUGGAAAUCAUUCGCAGAGUGUAAAGGUAUAAGGGAGCUUGACUGCGAGAGCUACAACUCGAGCAGGGACGAAAGUCGGGCUUAGUGAUCCGGUGGUUCCGUAUGGAAGGGCCAUCGCUCAACGGAUAAAAGCUACCCUGGGGAUAACAGGCUUAUCUCCCCCAAGAGUUCACAUCGACGGGGAGGUUUGGCACCUCGAUGUCGGCUCGUCGCAUCCUGGGGCUGUAGUCGGUCCCAAGGGUUGGGCUGUUCGCCCAUUAAAGCGGCACGCGAGCUGGGUUCAGAACGUCGUGAGACAGUUCGGUCCCUAUCCGUCGCGGGCGUAGGAAAUUUGAGAGGAUCUGCUCCUAGUACGAGAGGACCAGAGUGGACUUACCGCUGGUGUACCAGUUGUCUUGCCAAAGGCAUCGCUGGGUAGCUAUGUAGGGAAGGGAUAAACGCUGAAAGCAUCUAAGUGUGAAACCCACCUCAAGAUGAGAUUUCCCAUGAUUAUAUAUCAGUAAGAGCCCUGAGAGAUGAUCAGGUAGAUAGGUUAGAAGUGGAAGUGUGGCGACACAUGUAGCGGACUAAUACUAAUAGCUCGAGGACUUAUCCAA
rnacentral:rRNA from 1 species